rnacentral:rRNA from 1 species
GUUCGAUUAUGGCUCAGGUGUGAGCCGCUGGCGGGAUGUCACUUUACACAUGCAAGUCGAACGGCAGCACGGACUUCAGUCUGGUGGCGAGUGGCAAGACGGGUGAGUAAUGUAUCGGAACGUGCCCUAUUAGCCGGGAUAACUACGCGAAAGCGUGACUAAUACCACAUACACCCUUCGGGGAGGAAAGCGGGGGACCUUUUCGGGCCUCGCACUAUUAGAGCGGCCGAUAUCCGGAUUAGCUAGUUGGUGGGUAACGGCUCACCAAGGCGACGAUCCGUAGCUGGUUUGAGAGGACGACAGCCACACUGGGACUGAGACACGGCCCAGUCUCCUACGGGGAGCAGCGGUGAAAUUUGGACAAUGGAGAGAAACUGAUCCGGCCUCCAGUGUGCGAUGAGCCUUCGGGUUGUAAAAGCACUUUUGGCAGGAAAAACGGCACGGGAUAAUACCCCGUGCAAUGACGAAGCCUGCAGGAAUAAAAGCACCGGCUAACUACGACCGCCCGGCAGCCGCGGUAAUACGUAAGUGCAAGCGUUAAUCGGAAUUGCUGGGCGUAAAGCGUGCGCGGGCGGUUCGGAAGAAAAGAUGUGAAAUCCCGGAAACAACUUUGGAACUGCAUUUUUAACUACCGAGCUAGAGUGUGUCAAAGAGGGAGGUGGAAUUCCGCGUGUAGCAGUGAAAUGCGUAGAUAUGCGGAGGAACACCGAUGGCGAAGGCAGCCUCCUGGGAUAACGCCGACAGCUCGUACGCGAAAAGCGACCAGAGAUAACAAGAGUUAGAUACCUGGUAGUCCACGCCCUAAACGUGUCAACUAGCUGUUUGGGGCCUUCGGGCCUUGGUAGCGCAACUAACGCGUGAAGUUGACCGCCUGGGGAUACGGUCGCAAGAUUCAAAACUCAAAGGAAUUGACGGGGACCCGCACAAGCGGUGGAUGAUGUGGAUUAAUUCGAUGCAACGCGAAAAACCUUACCACCUUGACAUGUCUGGAAUCCCGAAGAGAUUUGGGAGUGCUCGCAAAGAACCGGAACACGGUGCUGCAUGGCUGUCGUCAGCUCGUGUCGUGAGAUGUUGGGUUAAGUCCCGCAACGAGCGCAACCCUUGUCAUUAGUUGCUACGAAAGGGCACUCUAAUGGAACUGCCGGUGACAAACCGGAGGAAGGUGGGGAUGACGUCAAGUCCUCAUGGCCCUUGUAGGUAGGGCUACACGUCAUGCAAUGGUCAGGACAGAAGGUCGCCAACCCGCGAGAGGGAGCCAAUCCCAGAAACCCGAUCGUAGUCCGGAUCACCAGUCUGCAACUCGACCGCGUGAAGUCGGAAUCGCUAGUAAUCGCGGAUCUUGCUGUAUAUCGUGAAUACCAUUCUGGUCUUGUACACACCGCCCGUCACACCAUGGGAGUGGGUUUACUGCCAGAAGUAGUUAGCCUAACCGUAAGGAGGGCGAUUACCACGGUAGGAUUCAUGACUGGGGUGAAGUCGUAACAAGGUAG